UCUGGUGACAAUGGCAAGGAGGUCACACCUGUUCCCAUGCCGAACACAGAAGUUAAGCUCCUUAGCGCCGAUGGUAGUCGGACUGACGUUCCGCU
rnacentral:rRNA from 12 species